AUCGCCUUAACUCGAGCCUUAGAGUUGGCAAAAGGAAGAGAGAUUAACAUUUACACAGACUCAAGGUAUGCAUUUGGGGUAGUUCAUGCACAUGGAGCCAUUUGGAAAGAGAGAGGACUGUUGAAUUCGCAAGGGAAGAAUAUUAAACAUUCACAAGAGAUACUGAGACUACUAGAUGCAGUGCAGCUACCUGAGAAGGUAGCCAUCAUGCACAUUAAGGCACACCAAAAAGUGAGCUCUGAAUUGGAAGAAGGGAAUAUGCUGGCAGACAGAGAGGCAAAAGACGCAGCCAAAGGUGAGGUAUUUGAGGAGACAGUGGAAGCAACAUUAAUCCCAGAUGGAAAGAUUUCUAUUGAAGUCUUUUGCAGAAAAAAGCCUGGAACCACAGUGGGAAGGACCCUACCUAGUGCUCCUCACUACCUUUACUGCAAUCAAGAUCAAAGAACAGAAAGCCUGGAUCCAUCACUCCCGAGUGAAGAAAGUUCCUGAGGGAGUCUGGAAAGUGACACCAGGUGACAACGAGCUGAAGUUGAAGCUCACCUGCAACAGCGAAUAAA